UACGGGGGGUGCAAGCGUUGUUCGGAAUCAUUGGGCGUAAAGCGCGUGUAGGCGGCCGGAUAUGUCAGAUGUGAAAGUCCCGGGCUCAACUCGGGAAGUGCAUUUGAAACUGUUCGGCUAGAGUUAGGGAGAGGAAAGUGGAAUUCCUGGUGUAGAGGUGAAAUUCGCAGAUAUCAGGAGGAACACCGGUGGCGAAGGCGGCUUUCUGGCCCUCUACUGACGCUGAGACGCGAAAGCGUGGGGAGCAAACAGG
rnacentral:rRNA from 1 species